GAGAUAGGACUGCAAGUGUGUAG
rnacentral:piRNA from 1 species